AGCGAACGCUGGCGGCGUGCCUAACACAUGCAAGUCGAACGUGAAAGGGAGCAAUCCCAAGUAAAGUGGCGUACGGGUGAGUAACACGUAGGUAAUCUACCCCAGAAUCUGGAAUAACCGGCCGAAAGGCUGGCUAAUACUGGAUAGAGCGACGGAAUCCGUAAUUGGGUUUUUCGGGAAAGGGAGCCUGUAAAAAGGCCUUCGUUCUGGGAUGAGCCUGCGUCCCAUCAGCUAGUUGGUGAGGUAAAAGCUUACCAAGGCAAUGACGGGUAGCUGGUCUGAGAGGACGAUCAGCCACACUGGAACUGAAACACGGUCCAGACUCCUACGGGAGGCAGCAGUGGGGAAUCUUGCGCAAUGGACGAAAGUCUGACGCAGCAACGCCGCGGGAGUGAAGAAGGCCGUCGGGUUGUAAAGCUCUGUCGAGUGGGACGAAAAUGCUUGGAGUUCACAGCUCCAGGAACUGACGGUACCACUAAAGGAAGCACCGGCUAACUCCGUG
rnacentral:rRNA from 1 species